CAUUCGCACCUGUAUCUUGCUCAACCGUUAUUUAUAUAAAAUCCGGUUGAGCAAAAUUUCAGGUGUGUGAGAAA
rfam:Glossina fuscipes fuscipes unplaced genomic scaffold Scaffold209, whole genome shotgun sequence.